ACCCCUGUGAAAACGCCCCUAACUUCUCCUGCACUUAGGGAGCAGGUAUCAGGCACAAUUAAAAGCCCAAGACACCUAGCCAUGCCACACCCACAAGGGCCCUCAGCAGUGACUAACAUUGAACAUUAGCGCCAGCUUGAUUCAGUCAAAGUAACUAGAGCCGGCAAAUCCGGUGCCAGCCGCCGCGGCUACACCGGGGACUCAAAUUGAUUAUUUCCGACGUAAAGCGUGAUUAAUCAGUCUCAUAAAUUAAGGCUAAAAUCAGAUUAGACCGUUAAACACUUAUCUGCCUGCACCCACUAACGAAAGUCACCUUAUAUAACCCAACCUGAACACACGAAAGCAGGGACACAAACUGGGAUUAGAUACCCCACUAUGCCCUGCCGUAAACUUUAACUUACACCUUAAUCGUCAGGGAACUACAAGCAAAGCUUAAAACCCAAAGGACUUGACGGUACCCCAACCCCCCUAGAGGAGCCUGUCCAAUAAUCGAUAAUCCCCGCUUAACCUCACCACAACUAGCCUAUCAGCCUGUAUACUUCCGUCGUCAGCUUACCACGUGAGCGAAACCUAGUUAGCCCAACGUCCACAUAACCCCAUCGUCAACACGUCAGGUCAAAGUGCAGCAAAUGUUGUGGGAUGCGAUUGGCUACACUUUUUAGUCUAAAAAACACGAAAAACAAAAUGAAACCUUGUUAGAAGGCGGAUUUAGCAGUAAAAAGAAAACAUCAUACUCACUUUAACCCGGCACUGGGGUGUGUACACACCGCCCGUCACCCUCUUCAAAUAUGUAAUCUUAGUACUUAACCUCAUAACCCCCACCCAA
rnacentral:rRNA from 1 species